AGUGAACGCUGGCGGUAGGCCUAGCACAUGCAAGUCGAACGGCAGCACAGUAAGAACUUGCUCUUACGGGUGGCGAGUGGCGGACGGGUGAGGAAUACAUCGGAAUCUACUUUUUCGUGGGGGAUAACGUAGGGAAACUUACGCUAAUACCGCAUACGACCUACGGGUGAAAGCAGGGGAUCUUCGGACCUUGCGCGAUUGAAUGAGCCGAUGUCGGAUUAGCUAGUUGGCGGGGUAAAGGCCCACCAAGGCGACGAUCCGUAGCUGGUCUGAGAGGAUGAUCAGCCACACUGGAACUGGGACACGGUCCAGACUCCUACGGGAGGCAGCAGUGGGGAAUAUUGGACAAUGGGCGCAAGCCUGAUCCAGCCAUACCGCGUGGAUGAAGAAGGCCUUCGGGUUGUAAAGCCCUUUUGUUGGGAAAGAAAAGCAGCAGGUUAAUACCCCGCUGUUCUGACGGUACCCAAAGAAUAAGCACCGGCUAACUUCGUG
rnacentral:rRNA from 1 species